rnacentral:rRNA from 1 species
UUAAGCGACUAAGCGUACACGGUGGAUGCCCUGGCAGUCAGAGGCGAUGAAGGACGUGCUAAUCUGCGAAAAGCGUCGGUAAGGUGAUAUGAACCGUUAUAACCGGCGAUGUCCGAAUGGGGAAACCCAGUGUGAUUCGUCACACUAUCGUUAACUGAAUACAUAGGUUAACGAGGCGAACCGGGGGAACUGAAACAUCUAAGUACCCCGAGGAAAAGAAAUCAACCGAGAUUCCCCCAGUAGCGGCGAGCGAACGGGGAGCAGCCCAGAGUCUGAAUCAGCUUGUGUGUUAGUGGAACGGUCUGGAAAGUCCGACGGUACAGGGUGAUAGUCCCGUACACCAAAAUGCACAGGUUGUGAACUCGAAGAGUAGGGCGGGACACGUGGUAUCCUGUCUGAAUAUGGGGGGGACCAUCCUCCAAGGCUAAAUACUCCUGACUGACCGAUAGUGAACCAGUACCGUGAGGGAAAGGCGAAAAGAACCCCGGCGAGGGGAGUGAAAAAGAACCUGAAACCGUGUACGUACAAGCAGUGGGAGCACCUUCGGGUGUGACUGCGUACCUUUUGUAUAAUGGGUCAGCGACUUAUAUUCUGUAGCAAGGUUAACCGUAUAGGGGAGCCGCAGGGAAACCGAGUCUUAACUGGGCGUUAAGUUGCAGGGUAUAGACCCGAAACCCGGUGAUCUAGCCAUGGGCAGGUUGAAGGUUGGGUAACACUAACUGGAGGACCGAACCGACUAAUGUUGAAAAAUUAGCGGAUGACUUGUGGCUGGGGGUGAAAGGCCAAUCAAACCGGGAGAUAGCUGGUUCUCCCCGAAAGCUAUUUAGGUAGCGCCUCGUGAAUUCAUCUUCGGGGGUAGAGCACUGUUUCGGCUAGGGGGUCAUCCCGACUUACCAACCCGAUGCAAACUACGAAUACCGAAGAAUGUUAUCACGGGAGACACACGGCGGGUGCUAACGUCCGUCGUGAAGAGGGAAACAACCCAGACCGCCAGCUAAGGUCCCAAAGUCAUGGUUAAGUGGGAAACGAUGUGGGAAGGCACAGACAGCCAGGAUGUUGGCUUAGAAGCAGCCAUCAUUUAAAGAAAGCGUAAUAGCUCACUGGUCGAGUCGGCCUGCGCGGAAGAUGUAACGGGGCUAAACCAUGCACCGAAGCUGCGGCAGCGACACUAUGUGUUGUUGGGUAGGGGAGCGUUCUGUAAGCCUGCGAAGGUGACCUGUGAGGGUUGCUGGAGGUAUCAGAAGUGCGAAUGCUGACAUAAGUAACGAUAAAGCGGGUGAAAAGCCCGCUCGCCGGAAGACCAAGGGUUCCUGUCCAACGUUAAUCGGGGCAGGGUGAGUCGACCCCUAAGGCGAGGCCGAAAGGCGUAGUCGAUGGAAACAGGUUAAUAUUCCUGUACUUGGUGUUACUGCGAAGGGGGGACGGAGAAGGCUAUGUUAGCCGGGCGACGGUUGUCCCGGUUUAAGCAUGUAGGCUGGUUAUCCAGGCAAAUCCGGAUAAUCAAGGCUGAGGUGUGAUGACGAGGCACUACGGUGCUGAAGUAACAAAUGCCCUGCUUCCAGGAAAAGCCUCUAAGCAUCAGGUAACAUCAAAUCGUACCCCAAACCGACACAGGUGGUCAGGUAGAGAAUACCAAGGCGCUUGAGAGAACUCGGGUGAAGGAACUAGGCAAAAUGGUGCCGUAACUUCGGGAGAAGGCACGCUGGUGUGUAGGUGAAGUCCCUGCGGAUGGAGCUGAGACCAGUCGAAGAUACCAGCUGGCUGCAACUGUUUAUUAAAAACACAGCACUGUGCAAACACGAAAGUGGACGUAUACGGUGUGACGCCUGCCCGGUGCCGGAAGGUUAAUUGAUGGGGUUAUCCGUAAGGAGAAGCUCUUGAUCGAAGCCCCGGUAAACGGCGGCCGUAACUAUAACGGUCCUAAGGUAGCGAAAUUCCUUGUCGGGUAAGUUCCGACCUGCACGAAUGGCGUAAUGAUGGCCAGGCUGUCUCCACCCGAGACUCAGUGAAAUUGAACUCGCUGUGAAGAUGCAGUGUACCCGCGGCAAGACGGAAAGACCCCGUGAACCUUUACUAUAGCUUGACACUGAACAUUGAGCCUUGAUGUGUAGGAUAGGUGGGAGGCUUUGAAGCGUGGACGCCAGUCUGCGUGGAGCCAACCUUGAAAUACCACCCUUUAAUGUUUGAUGUUCUAACGUUGGCCCCUUAUCGGGGUUGCGGACAGUGUCUGGUGGGUAGUUUGACUGGGGCGGUCUCCUCCCAAAGCGUAACGGAGGAGCACGAAGGUUAGCUAAUCCUGGUCGGACAUCAGGAGGUUAGUGCAAUGGCAUAAGCUAGCUUGACUGCGAGCGUGACGGCGCGAGCAGGUGCGAAAGCAGGUCAUAGUGAUCCGGUGGUUCUGAAUGGAAGGGCCAUCGCUCAACGGAUAAAAGGUACUCCGGGGAUAACAGGCUGAUACCGCCCAAGAGUUCAUAUCGACGGCGGUGUUUGGCACCUCGAUGUCGGCUCAUCACAUCCUGGGGCUGAAGUAGGUCCCAAGGGUAUGGCUGUUCGCCAUUUAAAGUGGUACGCGAGCUGGGUUUAGAACGUCGUGAGACAGUUCGGUCCCUAUCUGCCGUGGGCGCUGGAGAAUUGAGGGGGGCUGCUCCUAGUACGAGAGGACCGGAGUGGACGCAUCACUGGUGUUCGGGUUGUCAUGCCAAUGGCACUGCCCGGUAGCUAAAUGCGGAAGAGAUAAGUGCUGAAAGCAUCUAAGCACGAAACUUGCCCCGAGAUGAGUUCUCCCUGAGACUUUAAGUCUCCUGAAGGAACGUUGAAGACGACGACGUUGAUAGGCCGGGUGUGUAAGCGCAGCGAUGCGUUGAGCUAACCGGUACUAAUGAACCGUGAGGCUUAACCUU